rnacentral:lncRNA from 1 species
CCUUUCAUCAUCAUCAUUUAAACAACAAAAAAAUCAUUCUUUUCUAAUUUCAUUUCCAACCCCCAAUUUUAAAAAGAACAGAAAGCUGUUUGCUUUCUCUCCCUCCCCUAUUUCUCUCCGUCGAUCAUGUUCUCCACCGCCCGCCGUACCACCACCGUACCCGGUGGCCGACGAAGCGCGGAGAUGGGCUUCUUAGCCUCGUUUUGAGGCACAUUCGAAGGCCAUGCCUUCUCAACCCCAAAGAAAUCGAAAGAAAGGUCCCCCCUCUCCCCGGUUCGACUUCGGCGAUUGGAGAAGAGAUCUCCGGCGAUGAGUCUGUGGGAAGAUCAAGGUGAGGUUACCUUUCUCUUUACCUUUUCGUUUAUUUUCGUACAUGAAAAAGAAAAAAGAACUAAAACACAAUAAAAAAACAAAGAAAUCAAAACCAAGAACUAGAUGAAAGAAACUAUUGUAAAAACCAAAAAUCACCUUUUAUUUCUUGUUUUUUUUAAGAAAAAGGGACCGAACCCCCUACAACUGAUUUUGCUUGGCUUUUUAUAGCCAUUUUACAUGAGUUCUUUAUCUAUUUUUGUCUCUGUUUUGCGUGUUUGGUUUCAUCUUGCAGGGAGUCAGAGGAGUUGGUGGAGCAGGUGAGGCCGUGCGUCGGCGGUCAGAGGAAAGGUGAGGCAGCCAGGAGCAGGUGCAGCGAUGGGACGUGCGGCGGCCGGCGGAGUUGGUGGGUCUGCUGGUAUGGGUUCUUUUGUUUCUUUCUUGGGUCCGGGCAAAUGGGUCUGCAACAAAGGCCAUUGUCGACCCCCUUUGGCUCCGUCAUUAUACACGUAUUUACAAUUUAAUGUAAGUGUUUUAAUUAUUAAAUAUGAUCAUUAUUAGAUCCAAUUUGAUAUUUUAUGCUUACAUUGACAAAUAGGAUGAUGGGAGGACAAUAUUGAUAUUUCGAAGAGUCAAUUAGAAUAUUUUGAAGAUAAGGGACCGAUUUAAAAUCUGAAUGAAAGUUUGGGUAUGCUUGGUAGAAUAGCCCUAUUUAAUAAACUAAGAUUAUGUUUAGUUAAAGCUAACACCGCCUGCAAAAUGACUUUUGUACUAUUUUUGGUAGAAGCUAAUAUUUGGA